UACCAGCACCCCGAGUGGUCGGGACGUUUAUUGGGCCUAAAGCAUCCGUAGCCGGUUCUACAAGUCUUCCGUUAAAUCCAACUGCUUAACAGGUGGGCUGCGGAAGAUACUAUAGAGCUAGGAGGCGGGAGAGGCAAGCGGUACUCGAUGGGUAGGGGUAAAAUCCGUUGAUCCAUUGAAGACCACCAGUGGCGAAGGCGGCUUGCCAGAACGCUGUCGACGGUGAGGGAUGAAAGCUGGGGGAGCAAACCGG
rnacentral:rRNA from 1 species